GAUCUUUAUUUUUAUUAUUUAUAAAUUAAAAAGAAUUAUAUUAUUUAUAUUUUAAUUAAAAAUUUUAUUGGGGUGAUAUUAAAAUUUAAAAAACUUUUAAAAUUAAAUAACAUAAAUAUAUGAUUUAUUGAUCCAAUUUUAUUGAUUAAAAAUUUAAGUUACCUUAGGGAUAACAGCGUAAUUUUUUUUUAGAGUUCAUAUCGACAAAAAAGAUUGC
rnacentral:rRNA from 1 species